rnacentral:other from 1 species
AAUCGCCUGCUUGGUGCGUGGUGUGUCUAUUUGGACCCACAUUUUAUCAUAGGGACGUUAGAUUUCCUGUCCGGGUUGCAGACCUCCCGCCUACGCUUCGACGUUAGGUGGAUGUUGGGAGCAGUAAAGGACCGGAGCGGCAUCCCACCUGCCGUUAUCGUGCAGGUCACAAUCGAUGCAUCACGGCCAAAGCGGGGUUUAG